GACGAACGCUGGCGGCGUGCUUAACACAUGCAAGUCGAACGGAAAGGCCUCUUUCGGGGGGUACUCGAGUGGCGAGCGGGUGUGCAACACGUGAGUAACCUGCCCUUGACUGUGGGAUGACUUCAGGAAACUGGGGCUAAUACCUACUAUGAGCUCCUGCUGCAUGGUGGGGGUUGGAAAGUUUCGGGGUUUGGGGAUGGAUUGGCGGCUUAUCAGCUUGUUGGGUGGGGAGUGGCUUACCAAAGCUUUGGCGGGUAGCCGGCCUGUGAGGGUGACCGGCGACACUGAGACUGAGAGAAGGCCCCGGCUCCUACGGGAGGACGCAGUGGGGAAGAUUGCACCAUGGGUGCAAGGCUGAUGCAGAAACGCCGUGGGUGGGGUGACGGUCUUCGGGUUGUAAAACGCUUUCGCUCAUGACGAAGCUGUGUGUGACGGUAGUGGGUAAAGAAGCACCGGCUAACUACGUG
rnacentral:rRNA from 1 species